rnacentral:tRNA from 1 species
GGGAAAAUAAUUUAAUGGUAAAAUCUUGAUCUUCAAAAUCAAUUAUAUAGGUUCAAAUCCUAUUUUUCCUG